rnacentral:rRNA from 1 species
UACGAAGGGGCUAGCGUUGUUCGGAAUUACUGGGCGUAAAGCGCGCGCAGGCGGUCUUCCAAGUCAGUGGUGAAAGCCCGGAGCUCAACUCCGGAACUGCCAUUGAAACUGUUAGACUUGAGGAUGAGAGAGGUGAGUGGAAUUCCCAGUGUAGAGGUGAAAUUCGUAGAUAUUGGGAAGAACACCGGUGGCGAAGGCGGGUCUCUGGGCCGAUACUGACGCUGAGGAGCGAAAGCGUGGGGAGCGAACAGG